GUAUAGGUUUAAUGACUGCGCGCUAGCACAAUCUUUAAUUGACAUUCUGUAACUUUAUAGUGUAUAUGAAAACAUAGCCCUCGAAGAGGAAAGCAAGCAGAGGAAGGGCUCACACCCAUUCCCCCAAACCGCAUCGCUGCGAGAGGUUCACUUUCAUUCAAAGGACUACAAAAGGUGCACAAGAGAAGAUAAAUAGUAUGGGACGAGCACGUGCUCAGUAAAGAGCCAGCAUCAGUCGCCAAACGUAUUCAAUAAUGAUCCUUCCGCAGGUUCACCUACGGAAA
rnacentral:misc_RNA from 1 species